rnacentral:rRNA from 1 species
UAGGGAAUCUUCCGCAAUGGGCGAAAGCCUGACGGAGCAACGCCGCGUGAGUGAUGAAGGUCUUCGGAUCGUAAAACUCUGUUAUUAGGGAAGAACAAAUGUGUAAGUAACUAUGCACGUCUUGACGGUACCUAAUCAGAAAGCCACGGCUAACUACGUGCCAGCAGCCGCGGUAAUACGUAGGUGGCAAGCGUUAUCCGGAAUUAUUGGGCGUAAAGCGCGCGUAGGCGGUUUUUUAAGUCUGAUGUGAAAGCCAACGGCUCAACCGUGGAGGAUCAUUGGAAACUGGAAAACUUGAGUGCAGAAGAGGAAAGUGGAAUUCCAUGUGUAGCGGUGAAAUGCGCAGAGAUAUGGAGGAACACCAGUGGCGAAGGCGACUUUCUGGUCUGUAACUGACGCUGAUGUGCGAAAGCGUGGGGAUCAAACAGG